GACAGAGGUCUCAAGCGUUGUUCGGAUUCAUUGGGCGUAAAGGGUGCGUAGGCGGCGCGGUGAGUCAGGUGUGAAAUCCCGGAGCUCAACUCCGGAACUGCACUUGAUACUGCCCUGCUAGAGUACUGGAGAGGAGACUGGAAUUUACGGUGUAGCAGUGAAAUGCGUAGAUAUCGUAAGGAAGACCAGUGGCGAAGGCGAGUCUCUGGACAGUUACUGACGCUGAGGCACGAAGGCCAGGGGAGCGAACAGG
rnacentral:rRNA from 1 species